rnacentral:sRNA from 1 species
UCUCAUGUACUCCGGUACCUCACCGGAGUGCUGUGCCC